CCUACGGGAGGCAGCAGUGGGGAAUAUUGCGCAAUGGGCGAAAGCCUGACGCAGCGACGCCGCGUGAGUGAUGAAGGUCUUCGGAUCGUAAACCACUGUCAGCAGGGAAGAACGGUCACUGUGCUAAUCAGCAGUGCAUUGACGGUACCUGCAAAGGAAGCACCGGCUAACUCCGUGCCAGCAGCCGCGGUAAUACGGAGGGUGCGAGCGUUAAUCGGAAUUACUGGGCGUAAAGCGCUCGUAGGCGGUAUGUCAAGUCAAGUGUGAAAUCCCCGCGCUCAACGUGGGAACUGCCUUGGAAACUGGCAAGCUGGAGUGUGGUAGAGGAUAGUAGAAUUCCAGGUGUAGGGGUGAAAUGCGUAGAGAUCUGGAGGAAUAUCAGUGGCGAAGGCGACCAUCUGGACCAUAACUGACGCUGAGGUGCGAAAGCGUGGGUAGCAAACAGGAUUAGAUACCCUAGUAGUC
rnacentral:rRNA from 1 species